UACGAAGGGGGCUAGCGUUGCUCGGAAUGACUGGGCGUAAAGGGCGCGUAGGCGGAUUGCUUUGUCGGGCGUGAAAUUCCAGGGCUUAACCUUGGGGCUGCGUUCGAGACGGGUGAUCUUGAGUUCGGAAGAGGGUCGUGGAAUUCCCAGUGUAGAGGUGAAAUUCGUAGAUAUUGGGAAGAACACCAGUGGCGAAGGCGGCUCACUGGACCGGUAUUGACGCUGAGGUACGAAAGCGUGGGGAGCAAACAGG
rnacentral:rRNA from 1 species